rnacentral:rRNA from 1 species
UACGUAGGGUCCGAGCGUUGUCCGGAAUUACUGGGCGUAAAGAGCUCGUAGGUGGUUUGUCGCGUUGUUCGUGAAAACUCACAGCUCAACUGUGGGCGUGCGGGCGAUACGGGCAGACUGGAGUACUGCAGGGGGAGACUGGAAUUCCUGGUGUAGCGGUGGAAUGCGCAGAUAUCAGGAGGAACACCGGUGGCGAAGGCGGGGUCUCUGGGCAGUAACUGACGCUGGAGGAGCGAAAAGCGUGGGGAGCGAACAGG